rnacentral:rRNA from 1 species
GACGAACGCUGGCGGCGUGCUUAACACAUGCAAGUCGAACGGAAAGGCCCUGCUUUUGUGGGGUGCUCGAGUGGCGAACGGGUGAGUAACACGUGAGUAACCUGCCCUUGACUUUGGGAUAACUUCAGGAAACUGGGGCUAAUACCGGAUAGGAGCUCCUGCUGCAUGGUGGGGGUUGGAAAGUUUCGGCGGUUGGGGAUGGACUCGCGGCUUAUCAGCUUGUUGGUGGGGUAGUGGCUUACCAAGGCUUUGACGGGUAGCCGGCCUGAGAGGGUGACCGGCCACAUUGGGACUGAGAUACGGCCCGGCCUCCUCCGGGAGGCAGCAGUGGGGAAUAUUGCACGAUGGGCGGAAGCCUGAUGCCGCAACGCCGCGUGCGGGAUGACGGCCUUCGGGUUGUAAACCGCUUUCGCCUGUGACGAAGCGUGAGUGGCGGUAAUGGGUAAAGAAGCACCGGCUAACUACGUG